rnacentral:rRNA from 1 species
CCUACGGGUGGCUGCAGUGGGGAAUAUUGCACAAUGGGGGGAACCCUGAUGCAGCGACGCCGCGUGAGUGAAGAAGUAUUUCGGUAUGUAAAGCUCUGUCAGCAGGGAAGAAGAAAGACGGUACCUGACCAAGAAGCCCCGGCUAACUACGUGCAAGCAGCCGCGGCAAUACGUAGGGGGCAAGCGUUAUCCGGAUUUACUGGGUGUAAAGGGAGCGUAGGCGGAAUGCCAAGUCAGCGGUAAAAUCGCGGGGCUAAACCUCGCUCCGCCGUGGAAACUGGCGUUCUUGAGUGGGCGAGAGGUAUGCGGAAUGCGUGGUGUAGCGGUGAAAUGCAUAGAUAUCACGCAGAACUCCGAUUGCGAAGGCAGCAUACCGGCGCCCAACUGACGCUGAAGCACGAAAGCGUGGGUAUCGAACAGGAUUAGAUACCCCAGUAGUC